AAUUGACAUGGUGAUGAAGUCCACCAAAUAACCGCCAUUGUGGCUGAUGACUUCUACAUGACU
rfam:Acidithiobacillus thiooxidans strain A02 contig079, whole genome shotgun sequence.